rnacentral:rRNA from 1 species
GUCUAUGGCCAUGCCACCCUGAAUGUGCCGGAUCUUCUCUGAUCUCAGAAGCUAAGCAGGGUUGGGCUUGGUUAGUACUUAGAUGGGAGACUACCUUGGAAUACCAGGUGUUGUAGGCA